AGGCACCAACGCAAGCAAACAGUAUUUGCACAUCUCAGCAGCAGCCAGAAACAGAUUUGUGCGAAUCCAAGUCUGCCAACGAAACUGCUGAAAUCAGGCAACUUGUGGCAACAGCAUUUAAAAACUUCUCGACACUGGUUGACAGCUCAACGUACGAGUAUCACUUGGAGGGCUGUGCCACUGACUUAUGCGCCUGCGAGCCUGCGUCCAUCCAGAACUGCCUCGAUGUCUGCCUGGAAGUGUUUGCUGGCACCGUCAAAAUCAACGAUGAAACUUUAC